UGCAUGCUAAGUGUUGGAGGGUUUCCGCCCUUCAGUGCUGCAGCUAACGCAUUAAGCAUUCCGCCUGGGGAGUACGGCCGCAAGGCUGAAACUCAAAGGAAUUGACGGGGGCCCGCACAAGCGGUGGAGCAUGUGGUUUAAUUCGAAGCUACGCGAAGAACCUUACCAGGUCUUGACAUACUAUGCAAAUCUAAGAGAUUAGACGUUCCCUUCGGGGACAUGGAUACAGGUGGUGCAUGGUUGUCGUCAGCUCGUGUCGUGAGAUGUUGGGUUAAGUCCCGCAACGAGCGCAACCCUUAUUAUCAGUUGCCAGCAUUAAGUUGGGCACUCUGGUGAGACUGCCGGUGACAAACCGGAGGAAGGUGGGGAUGACGUCAAAUCAUCAUGCCCCUUAUGACCUGGGCUACACACGUGCUACAAUGGAUGGUACAACGAGUUGCGAACUCGCGAGAGUAAGCUAAUCUCUUAAAGCCAUUCUCAGUUCGGAUUGUAGGCUGCAACUCGCCUACAUGAAGUCGGAAUCGCUAGUAAUCGCGGAUCAGCAUGCCGCGGUGAAUACGUUCCCGGGCCUUGUACACACCGCCCGUCACACCAUGAGAGUUUGUAACACCCAAAGUCGGUGGGGUAACCUUUUAGGAACCAGCCGCCUAAGGUGGGACAGAUGAUUAGGGUGAAGUCGUAACAAGGUAGCCGUAGGAGAACCUGCGGCUGGACCCCCCCCCUUUUAAAAACGGGCCCCCCCCGGCGGGCGGGCCGCGGG
rnacentral:rRNA from 2 species